rfam:Glaciecola pallidula DSM 14239 = ACAM 615 DNA, contig: CTG013.
CCAUGCUAUCAGAACAACUCGCCUUCUCCUUUAGCUAUGCGCAACAGCGGGUAACUUCUGUUGUGAAGUGUUAGCGAAGGUACUCGCAGGUUAGGUAUUGAGCCACGUAAUAAAUCAUUAAAGGCGGUGAUGCUGUUAAGCGAAGCAGAAACCAACAAUAAUAAUGGUACUAAUGGUACUAAUGGUACUAAUGGUACUAAUGGUUAAUCAUUGUUAUGCCUGUCGGGGUCGGAGACCC